rnacentral:rRNA from 1 species
UCGAGCGGUAACAGGUGUAGCAAUACAUGCUGACGAGCGGCGGACGGGUGAGUAACGCUUGGGAAUCUGCCUGUUAGUGGGGGACAACCCGGGGAAACUCGGGCUAAUACCGCAUACGCACUACGGUGGAAAGCCGGGGACCGCAAGGCCUGGCGCUAACAGAUGAGCCCAAGUCGGAUUAGCUAGUUGGUAGGGUAACGGCCUACCAAGGCGACGAUCCGUAACUGGUCUGAGAGGACGACCAGUCACACCGGAACUGAGACACGGUCCGGACUCCUACGGGAGGCAGCAGUGGGGAAUAUUGGACAAUGGGGGCAACCCUGAUCCAGCGACGCCGCGUGGGUGAAGAAGGCCUGCGGGUUGUAAAGCCCUUUCGGUUGGGAAGAAAAGCUGUGACCUAACACGUUGCGGCCUUGACGUAACCAACUAAAGAAGCACCGGCUAACUCUGUGCCAGCAGCCGCGGUAAUACAGAGGGUGCGAGCGUUA